GUACUCUCUUUGGCAGCACGUAUACUGAAAUUGAAAUGACACAGAGGAGAUUAGCAUGGCCCCUGUGCAAGGAUGACAUGCAAAUUUGUGAAGCGUUCCAUAUAAUA
ensembl:snRNA U6 U6 spliceosomal RNA